rnacentral:misc_RNA from 1 species
GAUGAAGAACGUAGCGAAAUGCGAUAACUAAUGUGAAUUGCAGAAUUCCGUGAAUCAUCGAGUCUUUGAACGCACAUUGCGCCCCCUGGUAUUCCGGGGGGCAUGCCUGUCCGAGCGUCAUUGCUGCCCAUCAAGCACGGCUUGUGUGUUGGGUCCCGUCCCCCUCUCCCGGGGGACGGACCCGAAAGGCAGCGGCGGCACCGCGUCCGGUCCUCGAGCGUAUGGGGCUUUGUCACCCGCUCUUGUAGGCCCGGCCGGCGCUUGCCGACAACCAACCAUUUUUUUCAGGUUGACCUCGGAUCAGGUAGGGAUACCCGCUGAACUUAAGCAUAUCAAUAAGCGGAGGA